GGCUGCACAAGCUCAUCACACUGCAAAACCGUGCCUGUGCCUCUCAGCCCUGCCUUCGUCCCUCCUCCCCUUCCCUGUCUCACUGCAGCUCUGAGCAGGCUGCCUGUCAGUCUACACUCCCGCACCCCCUCCUACCUCCUCCAGGUGUGGGUACUUGACUGCAAUCAAAUACUCUCUCCAGUAAAAGGUGGUGGAGAGAUUUCAUUAUGGGCUAGAGCUGUGGUGCUUGGGGACCUGCUUGCACAAUGGGAGCUUUGUGUGGCUGCGUUAUUCUGCUGCCAGAGGAAGAAGCCUGGAGUGCUGGAAGAUGCUCGUGUGUGCUGGGAACUCAUAGAUGUUCAAAACUCAGUUGGACAUCUGAGCCUGAAGUGGACUGAUGUUCAAAGGACCUUGCCAACUUAUCUUAUGACUCUUGGGUUAGGUGGACAGAAACCUUCAGCUCUCUUUAAGCAUUGCCCCUGACUCUCUCUGGAUUUGGCUGAUGGUGUCAACUUGAUCUCCAUGAUUUUACUAGGGGUUAAAGAUUUAAUGCAGAAACAUCUACAAGCGUGUGAUUCAGGCAUCUACAGCAUGGAGGUGAAUCUCCCCUUGAAGUUUGCACUCUGCUCCUAUUCAGCUACAAUUUCUUGUUUAAAAGCGGGGUGUUUGGGUCAGUUCUCAGGACUACAUUACAACCAAGACAUAUGCUAUUUUCCGUAUUUCCUAUGUCUAGGAAUUCAAUGAUAUAUGCAUCUCAGUCCCCAUUAAACAUACUGCAUGAUCAUCUGUACUUUCAGGUGUGUGCAGUGACUGAUAAACUCCAUACAUCAAAAUCGUACUUUUUUUUUUAGAACUUUCCUAAAACAAGAGUAACAAUUAACCUGUAUAGCAGGGAAAGAUACUAGUAAUAAUAAUCUUUUACAACUACUCUGCACUUUUGAAGUGCCUCCAGCCUAAACAGACUCCAAAGGCUCACGGUUCCAACAGUGCACUACAAAACAGCUGCAAGUCUUUCUGCUUUGCAAACAAGAAAAUGGGGCUUCCAAGAGGUAAAGCUAUUACCUAGCUAUCACACCGUACCUUGGCAGCUGAGAAGAGGACCCAGAUUGCCUGAGUGCCUUGUGCCUGAGCUGCAAGGCUGCUAGGAGCCUGCAUUGUCAUUUAUUGUGUGUUUGUACACACAGUACAAGCUCUGCUGGACCCUGACCUAGGAAAGAGCCUACAGCCCUUGUUUUAAAAAUAAUCGUGAAGCAACUUCCCCAGAGGCAUUAAGCAGAGCAAGAAGCUUUAGCAGUGCUCUCUUAGGAGCAAGAGCUCUUUUCUGCAGGGGCACAUGAUCCUCCCUCCACCAACUGGCAGCUUUAGACAGAUUCCCCACCACUUGCUAAACAUAGCCCCAAACAGAAUGUCUAUGUAACAUGUCAAGUGUUAGCUGGGACUAAUCAUUCACAUUAUGCAACCGAGUCACAUGCAUGCAUGCGGCAUACAUCAAGCAAGCUUCUGCCCUGGUUGCAGCAAUAGCCCUACCUCCAGCUGAGCAGUAAUUAUUGUUACUCUGCAAGAUGAAGGAGGUAAAAGGCUUCUGCCACCACUCCCUGCUGUAUUCAGAGCUUUUUGGUGACCUCAAGCUGGGAUGGAUCUGGUGGCAGCUUCUUAUUAACUCCAUUCCAUAUCUACAUCCACACGGGGCCUCCUGCCUGAUUACAGAGUUUGGUUCCCAGUGAAUGGGCCCAGUGAGGGCUGGGGCCCCCAUCCCACUGUCACAGCUGUCCUUGCAGGGGUGUUGAUAGUCCUCAAAUUGCUACCCACAGCUCCCAUCUCCUUGAAGAUGAAGUGAGACAAUUUGUGGGGAAAGAUCCACACAUUGGCUUCCUGUAACACAAGGUGUUUGAUUCCUGGACACCUUCAAGGGUUAAAACUGCUUACACCAGGGCUGGGGCAACUCAUUGGGCAGUUGUUACUUCAAUCAGUAUCUCAGAGAAAUUGCAUCCAAAAAUAACUGAUGUUAUCUUCAUCUUCCAGGUAUCAGGGCCACUUUAACAAUCUCAGAAAUCGCCUUUCCCUGAAUUUCUGAAUUUUCAAUGCAUUUCUUCAUCUUGCAUUGGGAAAUUACAGAUUUUUCCUUGUAUUUCUGCGUUUUCCCCUUUGCCAGGGAAAACAAUAAUCUAUUUUCUAUAAAUGAGGACCUAUUUUUUUUUUGUUAGGCAUGACAAUAAGUAGAGUGGAUUUGGUCCCAGAACCUCUCCUCGCUCUGCCCUGGUCACCUACAACCAACCCUUGGCAGAUCAAUGUGAGGCACCCACCAACUACCCUGAACCACUAGCACACCCAGGUCUCUCUCUACCUUUCUCCUUUCUGUGAGCCAUCCCUCAAUCUCGUGUGGGAUCUAAAGCAAAUUCCUGGGAGGUGAGGGAAGACGCAUGUCUUGUGUCUGCGUGUGCGAGACAGAGCUGCCUGCCGAGCGCAAACCUGCAUUUGGGCCUGCUCCGAGCAGGCAUCGGGCUCUGAUGCUGGGCAGGAUCUUGGUCAGCGCAUCCCGCCAGGGUGCUGAGAUGCUGAGCUUUCCCAGGUGUAUGGAAGUAUGAAGUUUGCUCUCCCAUUUCCACAGAGCUAAUGCUAAAUAUACUCCUAUGUCUUAUUCCAGCCCUUCCCUGCUUAUUCGCAUGUAGUGCAUGAAGGCGUUACUCCCCUCUUCUCCCAAAAACUCUAUCCCAACCUGUCUAGCACAUCAAACCCUUCUUCAAAAAAAUCCUGCAACCUUAGUGUGUGACGGAGCACAUGGCUGAGUUGAGUGAUGGCCAGUCCACCUCCAGUGGAGAUGCAGCCCUUCUGUCUUUUCCCAUGCAAACGCAGCCCCCUAAGUGCAAAGCACCAGUCCCACUAAAGGGCAAAGGAGAGGCUGAAACCCGUUUAGCUCCAUGGCAAAUCCUUGCCCACUGUGUACGGUUCCCGUUAGCCUGCAGGUAGUAAGAGGCCCCAGCUGUGUGGGACCCAAGAAGAGACACUCUACUGGGAAACAGCAAAGGAGGAAUAUCGCAUGAAGAGAUGCUGCAGGGCUUGACAUACAUUUUAGCAAUGGCAACUUCAAAACACUCCAUGGAUUCAAAUGGAUGUUGGAGAGCAUUAAGAAACACUCUUGGCCCCAGAUGGAAAUUCAGUUACAACUUGACUGAAGUUUAAUCCUGACAGUUAGCUGUGCAGCACAAGGGAUCAUCUUCUGCUUUCCCCCAGGGGCAAUAAAGUGCCUGUCUUUGUUACUGGACGCUGUACU
rnacentral:lncRNA from 1 species